rnacentral:tRNA from 1 species
CAAAUUAAAAUUUUUAAAAAAUAUAAUUUAUUUACAAUAAAUUAGUAGUUGUUAAAUUCAACUUAAUUUGA